CUCGCCACAAUUUCAACUUCUCACACCUGAAUUCUUCUGCGCUGGAUUCUCAUAAUAUGAUUUCACAGUUUUCUCAAAUCAAUUUUCCACUUUUACAGUAUAUAGUGCUAUUCUUUCUCCCUCGCGUGCAUAUCAAAUAACAAUUCUGGAUUACAAGAAGUGAUUGGUCGAUUUUUUGCCAGGGUGUACAAUAAGAGUGCUAUAAAGUGCAAUAGGAGGGAGGCAAAUACUAAUUUCGAAUUAAGAACAUAUGAAGGGAAAUUAAGUUGUGAUGCUGAUAAUAGAGGCAAUCACUUUAUUUAAAUUGUACAGUUGCAGGAAUAUGUACGAGCAACUAUUAUUUCACUUUUCAUUGGUUGCUUCAAGG